AGUGAACGCUGGCGGUAGGCCUAACACAUGCAAGUCGAACGGCAGCACAGUAAGAGCUUGCUCUUACGGGUGGCGAGUGGCGGACGGGUGAGGAAUACAUCGGAAUCUACUUUUUCGUAGGGGAUCAAGUAGGGAAACUUACGCUAAUACCGCAUACGACCUGCGGGUGAAAGCAGGGGAUCUUCGUACCUUGCGCGAUUGAAUGAGCCGAUGUCGGAUUAGCUAGUUGGCGGGGUAAUGGCCCACCAAGGCGACGAUCCGUAGCUGGUCUGAGAGCAUGAAUCGGCAGAUGGGAACUGAGAAUGGGCCGAGACACCGGCGGGAGGAAACAGUGGGGAAUAUUGGACGAGGGAGGCAAGCGGGAUCCUGCCAUACCGCGUGAGUGAAGAACGCCCUCUGGUUGGAAAGCCCUGAUGGUGGUAGAGAAAAGCAGCAGGUUAAUACCCCGCUGUACUGACGGUACCCAAAGAAUAAGCACCGGCUAACUUCGAG
rnacentral:rRNA from 1 species